UACGUAGGUGGCAAGCGUUGUCCGGAAUUAUUGGGCGUAAAGCGCGCGCAGGCGGUCCUUUAAGUCUGAUGUGAAAGCCCACGGCUCAACCGUGGAGGGUCAUUGGAAACUGGGGGACUUGAGUACAGAAGAGAAGAGUGGAAUUCCACGUGUAGCGGUGAAAUGCGUAGAGAUGUGGAGGAACACCAGUGGCGAAGGCGACUCUCUGGUCUGUAACUGACGCUGAGGCGCGAAAGCGUGGGGAGCAAACAGG
rnacentral:rRNA from 1 species